AUUGGUUUGCUUCAAAGUUUUUCCGCCAAAUCCCAGCAAGGGUGAAGUAGUUGAAGUCUGGGUUUUGCUGCAGUGUGAAUCAUGUUUGAAUGCUUAGCCAGCUAUAUUGAAGAUGAGACACAUGCAUGAAGAAGACCGGGCAGCAGCAGAUGGAUUACAGAAUGGACACAGAAGGUAGAAACAGAUGGAGUACAGUGAACAUGAAAAUGAUUCACCUUGGAUAAGGUGAUUGAAUCAGGUUCAUGAGCAGGAAUGUGGACAGAAGCAGAGUAGCUGGGAAUCCAAUCAAUGCUCCGAUAGGAAAUGUUGGCAUCUCAGGAGGUGGAUGAACCCAGGGAGCUACUGGACCAAAUGCUGGACACGAUAAGUAUUGUCUGUGUUCAUAUACAUAUAUGUGUG